rnacentral:rRNA from 1 species
UACAGAGGUCCCAAGCGUUGUUCGGAUUCACUGGGCGUAAAGGGUGCGUAGGCGGUCGGGUAAGUCUGAUGUGAAAUCUCACAGCUUAACUGUGAAACUGCAUUGGAUACUAUCCGGCUCGAGGAAUGGAGGGGAGACUGGAAUACUUGGUAUAGCAGUGAAAUGCGUAGAUAUCAAGUGGAACACCAGUGGCGAAGGCGAGUCUCUGGACAUUUCCUGACGCUGAGGCACGAAAGCCAGGGGAGCAAACGGG